rnacentral:rRNA from 1 species
UACGUAGGGUGCAAGCGUUGUCCGGAAUUAUUGGGCGUAAAGAGCUCGUAGGCGGUCUGUUACGUCGGCUGUGAAAACCUGGGGCUCAACCUCGCGCCUGCAGUGGGUACGGGCAGACUAGAGUGUGGUAGGGGAGACUGGAAUUCCUGGUGUAGCGGUGGAAUGCGCAGAUAUCAGGAGGAACACCGAUGGCGAAGGCAGGUCUCUGGGCCACUACUGACGCUGAGAAGCGAAAGCAUGGGGAGCGAACAGG